UCCCCAUUGACUUUCUGACAUCUCUGACUAGUCUUUUGCGAAUUGUUCACACUGCGGACAUUGUUUGGAGCUGCGUGCAUUUGUAGCUGGCGGCAGGAUUACGGCACAUCUAAGGCAACUGCUCUCUAUUCAAGAUAUUGAUGACCGAAUCGGGCAACUUGUCACUCAAAUUAUGCAAACCCAAAGGCCUAAAAGGAUGCCGCUGGCGGCCGAGUAUCAAAGGGCAGCCACUGCUCCUGGAUGGAAGGGAUAAUCAUGCUCGCAUGCGUGUCUGUUAAUUUGUUAUAAUAUCACGUAAGAAUUGUCAUCGAAUCGAUUUUUUAUGUUAGUGCCGCAAGGUGACAACUCAAUUUGUCG